rnacentral:rRNA from 1 species
AGCGAACGCUGGCGGCAGGCCUAACACAUGCAAGUCGAACGAUCCUUCGGGAUAGUGGCGGACGGGUGAGUAACACGUGGGAACGUGCCCUUUGGUUCGGAAUAACUCAGGGAAACUUGAGCUAAUACCGGAUGUGCCCUUCGGGGGAAAGAUUUAUCGCCAUUGGAGCGGCCCGCGUUGGAUUAGCUAGUUGGUGGGGUAAAGGCCCACCAAGGCUACGAUCCAUAGCUGGUCUGAGAAGAUGAUCAGCCACACUGGGACUGAGACACGGCCCAGACUCCUACGGGAGGCAGCAGUGGGGAACCUUGCGCAAUGGGCGAAAGCCUGACGCAGCCAUGCCGCAUGAAUGAUGAAGGUCUUAGGAUUGUAAAAUUCUUUCACCGGGGACGAUAAUGACGGUACCCGGAGAAGAAGCCCCGGCUAACUUCGUGCCAGCCGCCGCGGUAACAC